rnacentral:lncRNA from 1 species
GUUGAAGGUGGAGUUGUACGCAUGGGAAACGAUUCAUCUAGUAAGGUAGUUGGUAUUGGAACUGUUAAAAUCAGGACACACGAUGGGACAAUUAGGACACUCUCAGAUGUCAGGUAUGUACCUGAUUUACGAAAGAAUCUCAUCUCCUUGAGUAUUUUAGACUUGAAAGGAUGCAGAAUCAACAUCAAGUCAAGCGGCAUUAAAGUAUCUCGUGGAGCUCUCGUUUUGUUAAAAGGUAAAAGAACUGACAGUCUUUAUGUUCUGGAAUGUUCUACAGUGACCGGUGAAAUCAGACGUCCCUCGUCCGUUACAGAGUCGAAGUCAACUCGUUUGGAGCGGAGGCAACUUGGUCAUAGGAGGGAAAAAUGUAUGACCGUUUCGUUGAAGAGAGGUUCUCUUUUGGAUGCAAGUUUUGAAAAGUUAGGGCACUAUGUUCGUGAAAAUCAGACCCGG